rnacentral:miRNA from 1 species
ACUGACGAUAUCUGAAAAUAU